rnacentral:rRNA from 1 species
GGUUUUUAGAUUUUAUUAAAAAUCAAGCCUGCUCAAUGCUAAGUAAAUAGCCGCAGAAUUUUAACUGUGCAAAGGUAGCAUAAUCACUUGUCUUUUAAUUGAGGACUAGAAUGAAAGGUUUAACUAUGUAAUUUUGUCUUAUAGUAAUAUUUUGAACUUAAUUUUUUAGUAAAAAAGCUAAAAUUCAUCUUAAAGACGAGAAGACCCUAUUAAGCUUUACAAUUCAAUAUUAUUUUCAAACUAAUUAAAAAAUUGUUAUGCUGGGGCAGCAAAUAAAAAAAUAUUGUUUACAUAUUGUGAUAAAUAAAUCUAGAAAAAUCAAUAACUUGUUAAAAAAUAAUAAGUUACUAUAGGGAUAACAGCAUAAUUUUUUUAAAGAGUUCUCAUCAACAAAAAAGUUUGUGACCUCGAUGUUGGAUUAAGAAUCCUAUUUUACGCAGUAGUAAAAAAAGGGAGUCUGUUCGACUUUUAAAUUCUUCCA